rnacentral:rRNA from 1 species
AAUGAACGUUGGCGGCAUGGAUUAGGCAUGCAAGUCGGGGGAAUCCCAGCAAUGGGGGAACCGGCGUAAGGGGCAGUAAGGCAUGGGUACCUACCUUGGGGUUCGGGAUAGCCAUCAGAGAUGGUGGGUAAUACCGGAUGACGUCGUGAGACCAAAGAUUUAUCGCCCUUAGAGGGGCCCAUGUGAUAUUAGCUAGUUGGUGGGGUAACGGCCCACCAAGGCGAAGAUGUCUAGCGGGUGUGAGAGCACGACCCGCGCCACUCGCACUGAGACACUGGCGAGCCACCUACGGGUGGCUGCAGUCGGGGAUCUUCGGCAAUGAGCGCAAGCUUGACCGAGCGAUGCCGCGUGAGCGAUGAAGGCCUUCGGGUUGUAAAGCUCUUUAGUGGGGGAGAAAAGCCGCAAGGUGUGAUCUAUCCCAAAAAUAAGCACGGGCUAAGUUCGUGCCAGCAGCCGCCGUAA